UUUCAGGUGCCCGGAGUUUCCGGGAUAAUUGGGAAGUUCGUAAAAACCGACGCUGACCCGCAACCGUGAAAGGCGAUGCUGUCGCGAGAUGCCACUGUGACGCGUGUCAUGGGAAGGCGCGGCAGCAGAAGACCCUUGAGCCGGGAAACCAGCCUGAAAGC
rnacentral:ncRNA from 1 species